AGACCCGAAACCCGGUGAUCUAGCCAUGGGCAGGUUGAAGGUUGGGUAACACUAACUGGAGGACCGAACCGACUAAUGUUGAAAAAUUAGCGGAUGACCUGUGGCUGGGGGUGAAAGGCCAAUCAAACCGGGAGAUAGCUGGUUCUCCCCGAAAGCUAUUUAGGUAGCGCCUCGUGAAUUCAUCUCCGGGGGUAGAGCACUGUUUCGGCUAGGGGGCCAUCCCGGCUUACCAACCCGAUGCAAACUGCGAAUACCGGAGAAUGUUAUCACGGGAGACACACGGCGGGUGCUAACGUCCGUCGUGAAGAGGGAAACAACCCAGACCGCCAGCUAAGGUCCCAAAGUCAUGGUUAAGUGGGAAACGAUGUGGGAAGGCCCAGACAGCCAGGAUGUUGGCUUAGAAGCAGCCAUCAUUUAAAGAAAGCGUAAUAGCUCACUGGUCGAGUCGGCCUGCGCGGAAGAUGUAACGGGGCUAAACCAUGCACCGAAGCUGCGGCAGCGAACGUAUCACCCAAGACAACUUUACGGAGUUGACGAUUGACGGAGCGAAGCGACGUCAAAGCGUUCAUUAAAGUCGAGUUGGCUUAGGGAUACGUUCGUUGGGUAGGGGAGCGUUCUGUAAGCCUGUGAAGGUGUGUCGUGAGGCAUGCUGGAGGUAUCAGAAGUGCGAAUGCUGACAUAAGUAACGAUAAAGCGGGUGAAAAGCCCGCUCGCCGGAAGACCAAGGGUUCCUGUCCAACGUUAAUCGGGGCAGGGUGAGUCGACCCCUAAGGCGAGGCCGAAAGGCGUAGUCGAUGGGAAACGGGUUAAUAUUCCCGUACUUGGUGUUACUGCGAAGGGGGGACGGAGAAGGCUAUGUUGGCCGGGCGACGGUUGUCCCGGUUUAAGCGUGUAGGUGUGUGUUCCAGGUAAAUCCGGUUCACUUUAACACUGAGGCGUGACGACGAGGCACUACGGUGCUGAAGCAACAAAUGCCCUGCUUCCAGGAAAAGCCUCUAAGC
rnacentral:rRNA from 1 species